rfam:Acidovorax sp. JS42, complete genome.
CUCUCCGUAGUUCAAUGGAUAGAACGAGCGCCUCCUAAGCGCUAGAUACAGGUUCGAUUCCUGUCGGAGGGA